UUAACAUUUUCUUCUUCUAUAUGGAACCCAAAGCCCUCUCUCUCACUGCUUUCUCUGCAUUUUUCUUUCUUCCUCUGUAAAUGUAGUUCUUUUGGACUAAUUUCCCCCUGUUGGCAGUGGAAAUUUACCAGCUUUUUCGUUGUUUGCGAAGAUGGUUUUUCUGGGGUUUUGAGGCUGUACAUGCAAGAAACUUCAUGAGCUGAGGUGAAAAGUAGGGUCUUGAUAUCAUGUUCAUUACGAUCUAGGAGGAAGUAGAAACAAUGAUUAUAACGAAGCAGUAUCGUUGCAUACACUCAGCAAGCUGUCAAUGCACAAAAGGACAUCUCAGUGAAGAUGUGAUUUUCCUAGUAUUUCAACAAAUGAACUGGAACCCCAAGCUUAUUGCCACUCUUUCCUGUGUAUGCAAAUGGUUUGAUGAUCUUGCAAAGCGAGUAUUAUGGAAGGAGUUUUGCCGAACAAGGGCUCGAAAGAUGAUGCGUGAUCUGCAAUCAAGUGGGAGUCACAGUGUUGAUGGAAAUUGGAGGGCACUUGGGAAGCUUCUUAUAUAUUGUUCAGGAUGUAGCAAGGGUGGUUUGUUCAAUAGCAUUGAGAUCCCUGGCCAUUUUGUUUAUAGGACCCGGUUUUCUCGGACAUCAGGAAAGAGUUUUUUGUUGCCACAGUGCAGAACAGAUAUCUUGUAUGUGUCUGAUCCAUGUGAGCAUCUUGACCAAGGAGAGGAAGGGGAUGUAGGGUUUUUCCGUGGAGUUUUUAAGUCUUUCUCAAUGUCAAAGGUUAAGAAAAUGCUGAUUCAAAGGGGAGCCCAGCUUCAUCCAACAGAAGUAUGUCCUUAUUGCAAGGCAAAGUUGUGGAGCAUGCUGCAAGCCAAAAUGAUACCACAGAGUGCCACCUGCAGGUUGGGUGCAUAUGAGGAUUGCAUUGAGUAUUAUGUCUGCCUCAAUGGCCAUAUGCUUGGGAUUUGCACCCUCUUACCUUUGUCUGAUUCAGAAGAGGCAUCUGAGCGGGAGUAGUAGUUGGAAUAGAUCACAGUUUGAUUAGUGCUGCAGGCAUGGAUCUUGUGUCUGCCAAUGGAUUUUUACAUGAAUUAUAGAAAGUGAGACGUCCGAUUAGAUGGGCCGGAAAUCUCAUUCUCUAAGAGCUUAAAUCACUGAUCAGUCGGGUCUUGACUCCUGGGUCCAGUGCUGUCGAGUCUUGCUUGCCCCAGUGAAAUUGUUUCCUUGUGAAAGGUUCAAAUUGCUUGACAAAACACAGCAACGUAUCAAUGAGGGCUUGCAACCUCAUUGAUUUUUCUGAUAGCUUGAGCCCACACCACUAUAAUAUGUUAUCAUGGCCGCCAAAACCUUACUAUGUUCAUACUGAAAUGUUAUUGGUCACAGCCCAUCUCUAAGUCAAAUUGGAUGUGCUCGGUAUUUACCACAUUUCUCCAACCAACGGUUGUACUUUUCAUAUUUCUGACCACAAAUUCCGCAAAAUAAAUGUGCAUUGAGUGGCUAAGCAGGUACUCCCAUUUUCAUGUGUUAACCGUGUAUUGAUGAUGAUAGGUUAAUUCAAGUGUUAGAAACUGUCUCAACUACAUAAGAUAUGGGAAAAUGUAAUGUUUUAUGAGUA